UACGUAGGGGCCUAGCGUUGUCCGGAUUUAUUGGGCGUAAAGAGCUCGUAGGCGGUUCGGUAAGUCAGGUGUGAAAUCUCCACGCUCAACGUGGAGGCGCCACCUGAAACUGCCGUGACUCGAGUCCGGUAGGGGAGUGUGGAAUUCCCGGUGUAGCGGUGAAAUGCGCAGAUAUCUGGAGGAACACCGGUGGCGAAGGCGACAUCCUGGACCGGCAUUGACGCUGAGGCGCGAAAGCCAGGGGAGCAAACGGG
rnacentral:rRNA from 1 species